rnacentral:rRNA from 1 species
UACAGAGGGGGCAAGCGUUGUUCGGAAUUACUGGGCGUAAAGCGUGCGUAGACGGUUGCGUAAGUCAGAUGUGAAAGCCCCGGGCUCAACCUGGGAAUUGCAUUUGAGACUGCGUAGCUAGGGUGCGGAAGAGGGAAGCGGAAUUUCCGGUGUAGCGGUGAAAUGCGUAGAUAUCGGAAGGAACACCAGUGGCGAAAGCGGCUUCCUGGUCCAGCACCGACGUUCAGGCACGAAAGCCAGGGGAGCAAACGGG